rnacentral:tRNA from 1 species
GGACAGGUGGCCGAGUGGUCGAAGGCGCNNGGCGCACGCCUGGAAAGUGUGUAGGCGGGGAACCGUCUCGAGGGUUCGAAUCCCUCUCUGUCCGCCA